GUAGUGGGUUAUCUCACUUGAUUGUUCACAGUCAGUUACAGAUUGAACUUCUUGUUCUACUACUUUCCCCCUUCUCGCUACUGCA
rnacentral:sRNA from 1 species